AAAGAAAGCGUAAUAGCUCACUGGUCGAGUCGGCCUGCGCGGAAGAUGUAACGGGGCUAAACCAUGCACCGAAGCUGCGGCAGCGACACUCAGGUGUUGUUGGGUAGGGGAGCGUUCUGUAAGCCUGCGAAGGUGGCCUGUGAGGGUUGCUGGAGGUAGCAGAAGUGCGAAGGCUGACGUAAGUGACGAGAAACCGGGUGAAAAGCCCGCUCGCCGGAAGACCAA
rnacentral:rRNA from 1 species